rnacentral:lncRNA from 1 species
ACUCCAGGGAACGUGUGAACAGUGGUUAUCAGCGGAUCACAAUGCAGGAAAAUAUCCAUUUCUAUCUUUAAACUGAUCUGAAAAUUUAGGACCAGAGUGGAAGUCAACACUGGCCCUGCGUGGAGUUUCAGAAAAGGCGCCUCCUGGACCUGCCGCACUUUGAUACCCUCCUUUGCACACCCCAUUUCAUUUGUCCUGCUAUCAACUUGACAUCAGCAUUUCCACACCCAAAUAUCCCUUAUAUGCUCUUCUGACAGUGAGGAUGUUUGCUCCCUACUGAAACAGAGUUCAGAACUCACACCUUGUUAAUAGGUUGUCAAAAUUCAUUUUGCUAGUCUAUUGUUUUUCUUCUAAUACAAAAAGAUUUGCUGA